rnacentral:rRNA from 1 species
UACGUAGGGGGCAAGCGUUAUCCGGAUUUACUGGGCGUAAAGAGCGCGCAGGCGGUCGUUCAAGUCGCGUGUGAAAGCCCCCGGCUCAACUGGGGAGGGUCACGCGAUACUGAUCGACUCGAAGGCAGGAGAGGGUAGUGGAAUUCCCGGUGUAGUGGUGAAAUGCGUAGAUAUCGGGAGGAACACCAGUGGCGAAGGCGACUACCUGGCCUGUUCUUGACGCUGAGGCGCGAAAGCUAGUGGAGCAAACGGG